rnacentral:rRNA from 1 species
UACGAAGGGGGCUAGCGUUGCUCGGAAUUACUGGGCGUAAAGGGCGCGUAGGCGGACAGCUUAGUCAGAGGUGAAAGCCCAGGGCUCAACCUUGGAAUUGCCUUUGAUACUGGCUGUCUUGAGUACGGGAGAGGUGUGUGGAACUCCGAGUGUAGAGGUGAAAUUCGUAGAUAUUCGGAAGAACACCAGUGGCGAAGGCGACACACUGGCCCGUUACUGACGCUGAGGCUCGAAAGCGUGGGGAGCAAACAGG